rnacentral:rRNA from 1 species
GGAUCAGACUUUGAUUAUGGCUCAGGACGAACGCUGGCGGCACGCUUAACACAUGCAAGUCGAACGGUGAAGAGAAGCUUGCUUCUUGGAUCAGUGGCGGACGGGUGAGUAACACGUGAGCAACCUGCCUUUAAGAGGGGGAUAACGUUUGGAAACGAACGCUAAUACCGCAUAAUAUAGAAGAUUCGCAUGUUUCUUCUAUCAAAGAUUUAUCGCUUAAAGAUGGGCUCGCGUCUGAUUAGCUAGUUGGUGAGGUAACGGCUCACCAAGGCGACGAUCAGUAGCCGUACUGAGAGGUAGAACGGCCACAUUGGGACUGAGACACGGCCCAGACUCCUACGGGAGGCAGCAGUGGGGAAUAUUGCACAAUGGAGGAAACUCUGAUGCAGCGAUGCCGCGUGAGGGAAGAAGGUUUUCGGAUUGUAAACCUCUGUCUUCAGGGACGAUAAUGACGGUACCUGAGGAGGAAGCUCCGGCUAACUACGUGCCAGCAGCCGCGGUAAUACGUAGGGAGCGAGCGUUGUCCGGAAUUACUGGGUGUAAAGGGAGCGUAGGCGGGAUCUUAAGUCAGGUGUGAAAACUAUGGGCUCAACCCAUAGACUGCACUUGAAACUGAGGUUCUUGAGUGAAGUAGAGGCAGGCGGAAUUCCUAGUGUAGCGGUGAAAUGCGUAGAUAUUAGGAGGAACAUCAGUGGCGAAGGCGGCCUGCUGGGCUUUUACUGACGCUGAGGCUCGAAAGCGUGGGGAGCAAACAGGAUUAGAUACCCUGGUAGUCCACGCUGUAAACGAUGAUUACUAGGUGUGGGGGGACUGACCCCUUCCGUGCCGCAGUUAACACAAUAAGUAAUCCACCUGGGGAGUACGGCCGCAAGGUUGCAACUCAAAGGAAUUGACGG